rnacentral:rRNA from 1 species
GAUGAACGCUGGCGGCGUGCCUAACACAUGCAAGUCGAACGAAGCAUCCCUUCCGAUGAAUGGACCAGCUUGCUGGGAAAGGAAUCAAUUGGGAUGACUGAGUGGCGGACGGGUGAGUAACGCGUGGGUAACCUGCCCCAUAGAGGGGGACAACAGCUGGAAACGGCUGCUAAUACCGCAUAGCAGGAAAGAGACGCAUGUCUUUUUCUUCAAAGAUUUAUCGCUAUGGGAUGGACCCGCGUCUGAUUAGCUAGUUGGUAAGGUAACGGCCUACCAAGGCGACGAUCAGUAGCCGGCUUGAGAGAGUGGACGGCCACAUUGGGACUGAGACACGGCCCAGACUCCUACGGGAGGCAGCAGUGGGGAAUAUUGCACAAUGGGGGAAACCCUGAUGCAGCGACGCCGCGUGAGUGAAGAAGUAUUUCGGUAUGUAAAGCUCUAUCAGCAGGGAAGAUAAUGACGGUACCUGACUAAGAAGCCCCGGCUAACUACGUGCCAGCAGCCGCGGU